rnacentral:rRNA from 1 species
CCUACGGGUGGCUGCAGUGGGGGAUAUUGGACAAUGGGGGGAACCCUGAUCCAGCGACGCCGCGUGAGUGAUGAAGUAUCUCGGGAUGUAAAGCCCUGUCAGCCGGGAAGAAAGAAAUGACGGUACCUGACCAAGAAGCCCUGGCUAACUACGUGCCAGCAGCCGCGGCAAUACUUAGGGGGCAAGCGGUAACCGGGAUUACUGGGGUAAAAGGGAGCGUAGACGGUUAAGUAAGCCUGGAGUGAAAGUCCGGGGCCCAACCCCCGGACUGCUCUGGAAACUAUUGAACUUGAGUGAGGGAGAGGUAAGCGGAAUGCGUGGUGUAGCGGUGAAAUGCAUAGAUAUCAGGCAGAACACCAGUUGCGAAGGCAGCUUACUGG